rnacentral:rRNA from 1 species
AGUGAACGCUGGCGGUAGGCCUAACACAUGCAAGUCGAACGGCAGCACAGUAAGAGCUUGCUCUUACGGGUGGCGAGUGGCGGACGGGUGAGGAAUACAUCGGAAUCUACUUUUUCGUGGGGGAUAACGUAGGGAAACUUACGCUAAUACCGCAUACGACCUACGGGUGAAAGCAGGGGAUCUUCGGACCUUGCGCGAUUGAAUGAGCCGAUGUCGGAUUAGCUAGUUGGCGGGGUAAAGGCCCACCAAGGCGACGAUCCGUAGCUGGUCUGAGAGGAUGAUCAGCCACACUGGAACUGAGACACGGUCCACACUCCUACGGUGGGCAGCAGUGGGGAAUAUUGGACAAUGGGCGCAAGCCUGAUCCAGCCAUACCGCGUGGGUGAAGAAGGCCUUCGGGUUGUAAAGCCCUUUUGUUGGGAAAGAAAAGCAGCAGGUUAAUACCCCGCUGUUCUGACGGUACCCAAAGAAUAAGCACCGGCUAACUUCGUG